rnacentral:rRNA from 1 species
GAUGAACGCUGGCGGCGUGCCUAAUACAUGCAAGUCGAGCGAACAGAUGAGGAGCUUGCUCCUCUGACGUUAGCGGCGGACGGGUGAGUAACACGUGGAUAACCUACCUAUAAGACUGGGAUAACUUCGGGAAACCGGAGCUAAUACCGGAUAAUAUAUUGAACCGCAUGGUUCAAUAGUGAAAGACGGUUUUGCUGUCACUUAUAGAUGGAUCCGCGCCGCAUUAGCUAGUUGGUAAGGUAACGGCUUACCAAGGCAACGAUGCGUAGCCGACCUGAGAGGGUGAUCAGCCACACUGGAACUGAGACAUGGUCCAGGCUCCUGCGGGAGGCAGCAGUAGGGAAUCUUACGCUAUGGGGGAAAGCCUGACGGAGCACCGCCGUGUGAGUGAUGAUGAUCUUCGGAUCGUAAAACUCUGUUCUUCGGGAAAAAAAAAUAUGUAAGUUCCUAUGCACGUCUUGACGGUACCUACUGAGAAAGCUACGGCUAACUACGUG